rnacentral:rRNA from 1 species
GAUGAACGCUGGCGGCGUGCCUAAUACAUGCAAGUCGAGCGAACAGAUGAGGAGCUUGCUCCUCUGACGUUAGCGGCGGACGGGUGAGUAACACGUGGAUAACCUACCUAUAAGACUGGGAUAACUUCGGGAAACCGGAGCUAAUACCGGAUAAUAUAUUGAACCGCAUGGUUCAAUAGUGAAAGACGGUUUUGCUGUCACUUAUAGAUGGAUCCGCGCUGCAUUAGCUAGUUGGUAAGGUAACGGCUUACCAAGGCAACGAUGCGUAGCCGACCUGAGAGGGUGAUCGGCCACACUGGAACUGAGACACGGUCCAGACUCCUACGGGAGGCAGCAGUAGGGAAUCUUCCGCAAUGGGCGAAAGCCUGACGGAGCAACGCCGCGUGAGUGAUGAAGGUCUUCGGAUCGUAAAACUCUGUUAUUAGGGAAGAACAAAUGUGUAAGUAACUAUGCACGUCUUGACGGUACCUAAUCAGAAAGCCACGGCGAACUACGU